rnacentral:rRNA from 1 species
CCCGACUGCUAUCGGGGUGGCGCUAAGCCAUGGGAGUCGCACAUCCCACCGCCGUGGGGUGUGGCGGACGGCUGAGUAACACGUGGCUAACCUACCCUCGGGACGGGGACAACUCCGGGAAACUGGAGCUUAUCCCCGAUAGGCGGGGAGUCCUGGAACGGUUCUCCGCCCAAAGGGAUGGAAGGGAGUUAUCGCCUUCUAUCCGCCCGAGGAUGGGGCUGCGUCCCAUCAGGUUGUUGGCGGGGUAACGGCCCGCCAAGCCUAUAACGGGUAGGGGCCGUGAGAGCGGGAGCCCCCAGAUGGGCACUGAGACAAGGGCCCAGGCCCUACGGGGCGCACCAGGCGGGGAACCUCCGCAAUGCGGUAACCCGUGACGGGGUCACCCCGAGUGCUCCCCUUAUGGGGAGCUUUUCCCCGCUGCAGGAAGGCGGGGGUAAUAAGUGGGGGGCAAGACUGGUGUCAGCCGCCGCGGUAAUACCAGCCCCACGAGUGGUCGGGACGGUUAUUGGGCCUAAAGCGCCCGUAGCCGGCCCAGCAAGUUCCUGCCUAAAUCACCGGGCUCAACCCGGUGACUGGUGGGAAUACUGCUGGGCUAGGAGGCGGGAGAGGCCGGGGGUACUCCUAGGGUAGGGGCGAAAUCCUAUAAUCCUAGGAGGACCACCAGUGGCGAAGGCGCCCGGCUGGAACGCGCUCGACGGUGAGGGGCGAAAGCUGGGGGAGCAAACCGGAUUAGAUACCCGGGUAGUCCCAGCUGUAAACGAUGCGGACUAGGUGUUGGACGGACCUAGGGUCCGUCCAGUGCCGCAGGGAAGCCGUUAAGUCCGCCGCCUGGGGAGUACGGCCGCAAGGCUGAAACUUAAAGGAAAGAGAGCGUUGGGGGUCACUUUGAAAAUAAUAAAUACAUCUUGAAGUAUGGAAUCCCUGAUUAAAACUUCUCAAUUUUCCCCUUAUACUUAAUACACUUAUAGUGACCCCCACCUCUCCCUGAAUUGGCGGGGGAGCACCACAAGGGGUGGAGCCUGCGGCUUAAUUGGAGUCAACGCCGGGAACUUUACCGGGGGCGACAGCAGGAUGACGGCCAGGCUAAUGACCUUGCCCGACGCGCUGAGAGGAGGUGCACGGCCGUCGCCAGCUCGUGCCGUGAGGUGUCUGGUUAAGUCCAGCAACGAGCGAGACCCCCGCCCCUAAUUGCUACCCGCUCCUUCGGGAGCGGGGCACAUUAGGGGGACUGCCGGCGUCUAAGCCGGAGGAAGGUGGGGGCCACGGCAGGUCAGCAUGCCCCGAAACCCCCGGGCUGCACGCGGGCUACAAUGGCUGGGACAGCGGGAACCGACCUCGAAAGAGGGAGGUAAUCCCUCAAACCCAGCCGCAGUUGGGAUCGAGGACUGAAACCCGUCCUCGUGAACGAGGAAUCCCUAGUAACCGCGCGUCACCAUCGCGCGGUGAAUACGUCCCUGCUCCUUGCACACACCGCCCGUCGCUCCACCCGAGUGGGGAGAGGGUGAGGCCCUGCUCCGAAUGGGGUAGGGUCGAACCCUCUCCCUGCGAGGGGGGAG